rnacentral:lncRNA from 1 species
UGCUGUGGACUGGCCAAGUUGGUACAUAAAAUUAACUGCUCUGGUACGCCACUUUGGCUUGCAAAUGAUCACUUUUGCUAUUUUCGAGGCCAAACUGGAAUGCUGGAGUUCUAAAUUCUGCGUAUCCCUUCUUGCAUGUGUCUUGUUGUCGACUUGCGCCAUCUUUCCCUGUGUUUCAGGCCUCACAAGAUUAAAACUUGGG